CGUCCUGGUAGCGGGGGGUAACUAUUGGAAACGAUAGCUAAUACCGCAUAAUAUUUGAUUAUUUGCAUGAUAAUUGAUUGAAAGAUGCAACUGCAUCACUACCAGAUGGACCUGCGUUGUAUUAGCUAGUAGGUGAGGUAACGGCUCACCUAGGCGACGAUACAUAGCCGACCUGAGAGGGUGAUCGGCCACACUGGGACUGAGACACGGCCCAG
rnacentral:rRNA from 1 species